AGCUGGUUACUUAAGAAAAGGAUUUUAGUCCAACCCAAUCUUUUUAUUAUACAACUAAAUAAACAUCAAAUUUUUGGAGUAAUUCAAAUAAGGUACAGCCUAUUUGAAACAGGAUACAACCUAUAUAAAUGGGUAAUUUAAUUUUCUAUAAUAAAGUAGGCCUAAAAGCAGCCAUCUUUUAAAAAGCGUCAAAGCUUUAUUAUUCAUUAACAAAAUUCCUUUAAUUAUCAAAAACCCUUAUUCUAUAUUAAGUAACUCUAUAUACCUAUAGAACCUAUUAUGUUAAAACUAGUAACAAGAAUUAAACCUUCUCCUAAAUGCAAGUGUAAAUCAGACUGGAUAAACCACUGAUUUUUAAUAUACAUGAACUCAAAGUAACAACUAAUCAAGAAAAUCUUACUUUAUAUUAUAUUAAUCUAACACAAGAGCAUUCCCGGACAGAUUAAAAGGAAAAGAAGGAACUCGGCAAACAUUAACCUCGCCUGUUUACCAAAAACAUCGCCUCCUGCUUAACCCAUAGGAGGUCCAGCCUGCCCAGUGACUCUGUUUAACGGCCGCGGUAUCCUAACCGUGCGAAGGUAGCGUAAUCAUUUGUUCUUUAAAUGAGGACUAGUAUGAAUGGCAUCACGAAGGUUGCACUGUCUCCUUUUCCUAAUCAGUGAAACUAAUCUCCCCGUGAAGAAGCGGGGAUUAACUUAUAAGACGAGAAGACCCUAUGGAGCUUCAAACUUUUCAACAAUUAUCUUCACUUAUAUAAGUCUUCCUGAACAAUAAAAUUAACCUAGAUAAAAUGUCUGCAAGUUUUCGGUUGGGGUGACCGCGGAGCAAAACUUAACCUCCGCAAUGAAUUAGAGCUUUACUUCUAAACAAAGAAUUACAAUUCUAUGUAUCAAAAAAUUGACACAAUUGACCCAAUACUUUGAUCAACGAACCAAGUUACCCUAGGGAUAACAGCGCAAUCCAUCUCAAGAGCUCUUAUCGACAGAUGGGUUUACGACCUCGAUGUUGGAUCAGGGUAUCCCAGUGGUGCAGCCGCUACUAAAGGUUCGUUUGUUCAACGAUCAAAACCCU
rnacentral:rRNA from 1 species